GACGAACGCUGGCGGCGUGCUUAACACAUGCAAGUCGAACGGUGAUCUUGAGAGCUUGCUCUUGGGUGAUCAGUGGCGAACGGGUGAGUAACACGUGAGUAACCUGCCCCAGACUCUGGAAUAACCCCCGGGAAACCGGAGCUAAUACCGGAUACGACACCAAUCCCGCAUGGGUAUGGUGUGGAAAGUUUUUCGGUCUG
rnacentral:rRNA from 1 species